GCUCGGCCCUGACCACAGAUAAUUACCAAACAAAAUUAUCCGCCAGAGAACUACAAGCGAAAAGCUCGAAACUCCAAGGACUUGGCGGUGCUCCAUACCGACCUAGAGGAGCCUGUCCUAUAAUCGAUAUUCCCCGCUAUACCCAACCACCUUUUGCCCACAGCCUAUAUACCGCCGUCGAAAGCCUACCUUAUGAAAGAACACUAGUAGGCAAAAUGGUCCUCCACCAACACGUCAGGUCAAGGUGUAGCUAACAAGGUGGGAGAGAUGGGCUACAUUUUCUAAAACAGAAAACACGAACAGCACACUGAAACUUGUGCCAGAAGGCGGAUUUAGCAGUAAGAUAAACAAGAGAUUGUAUCUUAAACCCGCUCUGGAGCGCGCACAC
rnacentral:rRNA from 1 species